rnacentral:rRNA from 1 species
AGAGUUUGAUCCUGGCUCAGGACGAACGCUGGCGGCGCGCUUAACACAUGCAAGUCGAGCGAGAACCAUUCCUUCGGGAAUGGGGACAGCGGCGAACGGGUGAGUAACACGUGGGUAAUCUGCCCUCGAUUCUGGGAUAGCCCGGGGAAACCCGGAUUAAUACCGGAUAGCCUCUCGAGCUUUCGAGCUCGUGAGAAAAGGUAGCUUCGGCCUCCGAUCGAGGAUGAGCCCGCGGCGGAUUAGCUUGUUGGUGGGGUAAUGGCCUACCAAGGCGACGAUCCGUAGCUGGUCUGAGAGGACGAUCAGCCACACUGGGACUGAGACACGGCCCAGACUCCUACGGGAGGCAGCAGUGGGGAAUCUUGCGCAAUGGGCGAAAGCCUGACGCAGCGACGCCGCGUGGGGGAAGAAGGCCUUCGGGUUGUAAACCUCUUUCAGCAGGGACGAAGCCACUCGGGUUAAUAGCCCAGAGGGUGACGGUACCUGCAGAAGAAGCCCCGGCUAACUACGUGCCAGCAGCCGCGGUA